rnacentral:pre_miRNA from 1 species
AGGCGAACAACCACAGUGGCAGCGGCCAGCUCUGGAGCCCUGGAUUCAGCUCCUGCAGUAACUACGGAGCUCUCAGUGUGCAGGGGCCUGGAUGCUCCAGGUUUGG